GUCGAAAGUUCGAUCACACUAUCCAAAGGACUUUUAUCUUGUGUCGCCAAGCUAGCUUAGAGAUCGAGGAAUGUCGAAGCUCGAUUCACACUAUCAAACGAUUGUUUUGGGUAUACUUGAUUUCAAUAUUUUGAGUAUGGCAUGUAUAGGGACUUGGUCAUUUUAUUACGUGUCAUAUUGGUUUAGCCAAAUGUGUUGGCAUUGUAAUGGUUAAUGAUUCCUUUUGUAUAUGGCCAUUGGAAGUUGGCUAAUAUUAUUCUUAUUGAUCAUUGGUAUAUUUAUGUGGUGAUGCUUAUCAUGAAGAUGAAUUUGGCAUGAAUGGAAAAGAAA